ACGUAAAUCGAUUUGUAAUUAUCCGAGGGAGCAGAAAUUUUUAGCGAUCCUGGUGUUCGUCGACGGGGAACGCACGCAUCGAAAUGGAAAGGCGAAUUAAAGGCGAAUACAACGAGUACGACGAACACUGUUUUAGAUUCGAACGAACUAAAAAAAGAGAAAGAGAAAUAAAAUUGCGACCGAGCUGCCGCGUCUCCCAAUCGACGCGGGGACAAUUCUUAUUUUUGCACAAAGUUUCGCGGGUCUGUCUAUCGGCGCACAAAGAAUGGUACGCGAGGAGGAAACGUCUGUUCGGCGACCCCGAAACGACACCACGGACAAGACUUAUAUUUGCCCCGUAUCGAAUUCCGUGCGUGAUCAU